rnacentral:rRNA from 1 species
UCUGAUGGGGGAGCGGCGGACGGGUGAGUAACGCGUGGGAAUUUUCCUCAAGGUACGGAACAACUCAGGGAAACUUGGGCUAAUACCGUAUGAUGCAGAGAUGCCAAAGAUUUAUCGCCUUGGGAUAAGCCCGCGUCAGAUUAGGUAGUUGGUGGGGUAACGGCCUACCAAGCCUGCGAUCUGUAGCUGGUCUGAGAGGACGAUCAGCCACACUGGGACUGAGACACGGCCCAGACUCCUACGGGAGGCAGCAGUGGGGAAUCUUGCGCAAUGGGCGAAAGCCUGACGCAGCCAUGCCGCGUGAAUGAUGAAGGUCUUAGGA